rnacentral:rRNA from 1 species
UACGUAGGGGGCUAGCGUUGUCCGGAAUCAUUGGGCGUAAAGAGCGUGUAGGCGGCCCGGUAAGUCCGCUGUAAAAAGUCAAAGGCUCAACCUUUGAAUGUCAGUGGAUACUGCCGGGCUAGAGUCCGGAAGAGGCGAGUGGAACUCCUGGUGUAGCGGUGGAAUGCGCAGAUAUCAGGAAGAACACCAACGGCGAAGGCAGCUCGCUAGGACGGUACUGACGCUGAGACGCGAAAGCGUGGGGAGCGAACAGG